GAGCUGAAGAGUUUGAUCAUGGCUCAGAUUGAACGCUGGCGGCAGGCCUAACACAUGCAAGUCGAGCGGAUGAAGGGAGCUUGCUCCUGGAUUCAGCGGCGGACGGGUGAGUAAUGCCUAGGAAUCUGCCUGGUAGUGGGGGAUAACGUCCGGAAACGGGCGCUAAUACCGCAUACGUCCUGAGGGAGAAAGUGGGGGAUCUUCGGACCUCACGCUAUCAGAUGAGCCUAGGUCGGAUUAGCUAGUUGGUGGGGUAA
rnacentral:rRNA from 1 species